rnacentral:rRNA from 1 species
GGAAUUUUGGACAAUGGGCGAAAGCCUGAUCCAGCCAUUCCGUGUGAGUGAAGAAGGCCUUCGGGUUGUAAAGCUCUUUCGCAAGGGAAGAAAACUUACUUUCUAAUAAAGAGUGAGGCUGACGGUACCUUGAUAAGAAGCACCGGCUAACUACGUGCCAGCAGCCGCGGUAAUACGUAGGGUGCGAGCGUUAAUCGGAAUUACUGGGCGUAAAGCGUGCGCAGGCGGUUUGGCAAGUCAGAUGUGAAAUCCCCGAGCUCAACUUGGGAACUGCGUUUGAAACUGCCAGACUAGAAUAUGUCAGAGGGGGGUAGAAUUCCACGUGUAGCAGUGAAAUGCGUAGAGAUGUGGAGGAAUACCAAUGGCGAAGGCAGCCCCCUGGGAUAAUAUUGACGCUCAUGCACGAAAGCGUGGGGAGCAAACAGGAUUAGAUACCCGUG